rnacentral:rRNA from 1 species
AUGGAUCUUGCGCGCCUCAACUACGGCAUCGUGACACUCAUCCCCAAGGUCCCGGGCGCCUCCGACAUCCGCCAAUUUCGACCAAUCACCGUGAUCAAUGUGAUAUUCCGGAUCUUGGCCAAAGGGUACGCCAACAGGGUGACUCUGCUCGCGGACGCGAUUACCCACCCGAAUCAAUCCGCCUUCAUUAAAGGCCGAUUUAUUCUUGAUGGGGUUCUGGUAUUCCACGAAGUCCUUCACGAGGUCCGGCUGAGACACCAUCGGGCGGUGUUUCUGAAGCUCGACUUCCACAAGGCCUAUGACACGGUCCACUGGCCCUUCUUGCGGGAAGUGUUG